AAGAUAUUUAGGACAGUCAGUACAAAAGUUUCUUAGCUUCUUCGUGUGAAAAGAGGGGUGAAUUUCAAUUAUGUAUUUUAUUAACGCAGCCUUUUUAGCUCUAUAAAAUGGUAACAAUGUUAAAAUCCCCUCCUGGGAAAUAAUGGCACAUAUGCCAUAGAGAGAGCGCUUGAGGAUGUUAUGAACUGCUGGUGGAAUUAACCAGUUGUUAAUCAGCUCUUUGCUUGCAUGCUGCUCCAGCCUAAACUGAAGAUGAUCAGAUGAUAACUUGGAAUCACAGAAUUGAGUUGGAAGGGAACCCAAAAAGGUCUUCUAGUCCAACUCCUCUGUCAUAGGGAAGGUCAUCCAGCCCAACUUGCAGUUUUGUUGUGAGCUUGGUGUCUAACAAGAUGUGCAAAGAAUUAUUAUUGUGAUUUAAAAACAGGGUAACUCGAAUUAAGCUUUCAUUUACAGGUGAGUCAACAGUGGGUUGGUGCUGAGGUGGGUCUGAGUGGGCACCACUGGCUGAUGGCGCACUGGUGACUCUUGCCAUGGGUUGGGUCAGUAACCACAGAGGCACCACAUGGUCACCUGAGUGUCACUGUUCCUGUGAUGCACUGCGUAGGGCACCCAGGAAAUAUUCAGAGCACCAGAGUCUGCUAGAAUGAUCCUGCAGGGCUCCUGAUGGGACGUAGCUUCAGAAGUGAAUGCAGUGACCCACGAGGCACGAACUCUGUGUGGUGACUGCACUACCUUGUUGUCUUCCACCUCCUUCCUUUGGAGACCUGAGAUCUGGCAGAGAAUGAAGGUAGAGAGGAGAUGCUGAAUCCAUGACACCACCAAAGACAACAGCUGGGCACUGUUUAAAGAAACAGUGUCUUGCAUCAUGAAACUGAAGGGAUGGAGGUUGGUCAGCUCCAGUUCCUUUAGUUAUUUUGUCCUAUUCUGAGGGCUGUUGCCCAAUGGAAGUGUUUGUGAGAAGUGAGGUGUAUCCUUCACAUCUGGGAGAUUCUUCAGGAGAAAUUUUCCUGUCUCCAGGAAGCCUGAAAUGCUGCAGUUCUUCUGAGCGGGCUCCUGCACGUUUUUGGCAAAUGAAGCAGAAUACAUUCGUGGGGCACAUCAAUGGCAGCAGUCUGUAA
rnacentral:lncRNA from 1 species